rnacentral:rRNA from 1 species
AGCGGCGGAUGGGUGAGUAACACGUGGGGAACCUGCCCCUAAGUCUGGGAUACCAUUUGGAAACAGGUGCUAAUACCGGAUAAUAAAGCAGAUCGCAUGAUCAGCUUUUGAAAGGCGGCGUAAGCUGUCGCUAAGGGAUGGCCCCGCGGUGCAUUAGCUAGUUGGUAAGGUAACGGCUUACCAAGGCGACGAUGCAUAGCCGAGUUGAGAGACUGAUCGGCCACAUUGGGACUGAGACACGGCCCAAACUCCUACGGGAGGCAGCAGUAGGGAAUCUUCCACAAUGGACGAAAGUCUGAUGGAGCAACGCCGCGUGAGUGAAGAAGGUUUUCGGAUCGUAAAGCUCUGUUGUUGGUGAAGAAGGAUAGAGGUAGUAACUGGCCUUUAUUUGACGGUAAUCAACCAGAAAGUCACGGCUAACUACGUGCCAGCAGCCGCGGUAAUACGUAGGUGGCAAGCGUUGUCCGGAUUUAUUGGGCGUAAAGCGAGCGCAGGCGGAAAAAUAAGUCUAAUGUGAAAGCCCUCGGCUUAACCGAGGGACUGCAUCGGAAACUGUUUUUCUUGAGUGCAGAAGAGGAGAGUGGAACUCCAUGUGUAGCGGUGGAAUGCGUAGAUAUAUGGAAGAACACCAGUGGCGAAAGGCGGCUCUCUGGUCUGCAACUGACGCUGAGGCUCGAAAGCAUGGGUAGCGAACAGGAUUAGAUACCCUGGUAGUCCAUGCCGUAAACGAUGAGUGCUAAGUGU